AGUGAAACUGUUGGUCUCCGAGGCAGCACUACUCCUCUUCCCUUUGCAAGCGGGGAAGAGGACAGAGCAAACACGGGCAGCCUUCUUGAAGGCUUGCCUUUAGCCCUGCCUGCCUGAAGUCCUCUGACUCUUCCUGCUGACGUCUCUACCGGACAGGCAGGCAAAGAAACCCCGCCCUAGCAGCUCCGCCCUGUGCUGGAGGGGCCAUUAACGGAAUCUUGUGUACACUGAAAAAGGUCUUCACUAUUUUUAGGGGCUGACAGUUUUAUAAAUAAGUCAGCAAGGGCUUUUCCACCUUACCUUAAUCUGCUAUGAGUUGCUGGUUUGAGCUCAAGUGGUGACAAUUCAAAGAAGAACAUUCAUGGGGCUAUGUUUUCAACAGAACUGGUGAAACCAUAUCCACACAGGCUAUGGAAGCAGACUCAGCAGACUUGCUGUUCAAAAGACCAUUCCUAAGGAUUUUUAAGAAUUUUUUUUCUGUUGAAAAAAAAAAAACCUGUAUUUCCAAUCUCAUCUGCAUGUACUGCCACAACAUACUGGAUGUAAAUAAAUUUAAAGAGAUUGUGGACGGUAAGGUCUUGUGGAAGGAUCUACUUCAUGAACAUGUGAAGUUCCACUGAUAUCCAAUAUGAUCCUGCCCCACUAACAUUCACUCCCUGAGCAGCUGGCUU
rnacentral:lncRNA from 1 species